rnacentral:rRNA from 1 species
GAUGAACGCUGGCGGCGGGCCUAAUACAUGCAAGUCGAGCGAACAGAGGAGGAUCUCGCCUCGCUGACGUGAGGGGCGGACGAGUGAGGACCACGAGGAUGACCUACAGAUGGGACUAGGGUAAGGACGCGGAAGCGAAUAUAAUACCGGAUAAGAUAGUGAAAGGGAUGGGUCAAUAGAGAUAGAGGGAUUUGCUGAGACUAAGUCGCAUUAGCGAGUUGGUGGGGUAAAGGCUUACCAAGGCGACGAUCCGUAGCUGCGCUGAGAGGGUGAUCAGCCACACUGGAACUGAGACACGGUCCAGACUCCUACGGGAGGCAGCAGUGGGGAAUCUUGGACAAUGGGCGAAAGCCUGAUGCAGCCACGCCGCGUGUGUGAUGAAGGUCUUCGGAUCGUAAAGCUCUGUUAGUUGGGAAGAAGAACUGUAAGUUUAUACCUGGCUGUCUUGACGUUACCUACAGAGUAAGCACCGGCUAACUUCGUG